CCCCCCCAAACUCAGUCGUCCCUCGUCCUGUUUCCUCCCAGUGAAACCGGAGUAGAGGGAGAUCAGAGUCUCCAGGCUAACCCGUGUCUCGCGCCGCUCGGGGUGAAAAGGGCGGAAUAACGAGGGGGAGGGGGGCGCACCUCCUUCUCCUUUUGAUUUUCGUUUGCUCCAAAACCUUCGGAAGUGGGAUGGUGGAAUUGCGUGGUUGGGACCUUUCCAGGGUGGUGGGGGGAGGGAAGGAGAGAGAGGCGAGGGACAGAAAGUGUAGACACGAACACCCCGUCACCUGCGUGUCCACGCACCCCUCCCCACUAUUGUGCGUCACAAUGUACUGUGCUACGUAGGAAAUCCUGGCGCACGUGGAUUCGGGGCCGGUAGCCUGUGUCCACCGGACAGGAGAGGCUUGGGAAAGCAGGGGAUAGGCGCCCAGGGAGAGUCACCUCGAAUUGGAGGAGGGUUUAGGGGGACACGGUGACUCUAGGCUCGGGAGGCUGGACCCAGCAGCCGCUAAAUCAACUCCUCUCUCUUCCCUCCCCUGGACUCCAUCACCCACUCAACCAACACUUAGGAAGCAGAACACCUGGCUCCCGGAGGAGGGAAAGCGGAAGAGGGUCUUUAACCCAGGGAAAGAGGAAGCAACCAAUCAGGCAUGCGCUUGAUGGAAUCACAUGUUCCUUCCUGGCCAAUCCCAAUAAAGUCCUUGUUCAUCUUC